UAAUGCUUAGGAAUCUGCCUAUUAGUGGGGGACAACAUCUCGAAAGGGAUGCUAAUACCGCAUACGUCCUACGGGAGAAAGCAGGGGACCUUCGGGCCUUGCGCUAAUAGAUGAGCCUAAGUCGGAUUAGCUAGUUGGUGGGGUAAAGGCCUACCAAGGCGACGAUCUGUAGCGGGUCUGAGAGGAUGAUCCGCCACACUGGGACUGAGACACGGCCCAGACUCCUACGGGAGGCAGCAGUGGGGAAUAUUGGACAAUGGGGGGAACCCUGAUCCAGCCAUGCCGCGUGUGUGAAGAAGGCCUUUUGGUUGUAAAGCACUUUAAGCGAGGAGGAGGCUACCGAGAUUAAUACUCUUGGAUAGUGGACGUUACUCGCAGAAUAAGCACCGGCUAACUCUGUGCCAGCAGCCGCGGUAAUACAGAGGGUGCAAGCGUUAAUCGGAUUUACUGGGCGUAAAGCGCGCGUAGGUGGCCAAUUAAGUCAAAUGUGAAAUCCCCGAGCUUAACUUGGGAAUUGCAUUCGAUACUGGUUGGCUAGAGUA
rnacentral:rRNA from 1 species